AGCGCCGCUUGACACAAAAAACGACCCCCCUGAUCGUCUUCUUCAUCUUCCUCGCCCCACACGACCCCUUUCCUCUUGACCACUGAACUUCAGCCUCCAAUUACCCAACGACCACCCACUGAGCUGAGCAACCCAACAGUCGACAAAUACAAAAGAAUAAGAUCGAAGAUGCUUAUUUCUGCCUCUUCAUUCCCUUUUCGAUUUUGAAAAUAAAGAAAACAGAACCAAAAAUAUACAAACGAAAGUAUUUUGCUGCUUCCUCUUCUCAGUUUCAAUUUUCGUUCUCAAAUUAUGGAAUGUGAUUGAGUGGUGGUCGUGUUCGAGUUCGAGUCCAGCGCCGAUUGAGGUGUUUGUCCGUAGUUCCAGUUGCGGCUGACGAUCUCGGAGUCAACUCUGUAUGAUUUUGCGGUGUAACUCAAAACUUGGAGGGUUUUUUUUUCAAAUUCGUGAGUAUUAAAGGAAGAUUGUUCUUCAGUUCUGGUUCGAAUGAAGGGCCUUGUAUGAUGACAAUUGAGGACGGUUUGCUAAUCUUAUGGCUAGUUGUUCUUGUAUUUUUUUAUGUUAAAGAUUGAGGAAUCUGUAUCUAUAUACACCUCUUGUUCGUUUGCUAAUGUAAAUUUAAUUGUCCAAGAAAGCUUACAUCUUACUCCA